AACGCGUAAGUAACUUGCCCAAGGUAAGGAAUAACGUCGAGAAAUCGGCGCUAAUACCUCAUAAUGCAGCGGAUCCGCAUGGAUAUGUUGUUAAAGGUUUACCGCCUUGGGAUAGGCUUGCGUCUGAUUAGCUAGUUGGUGUGGUAACGGCACACCAAGGCUACGAUCAGUAACUGGUCUGAGAGGAUGAUCAGUCACACUGGAACUGAGACACGGUCCAGACUCCUACGGGAGGCAGCAGUGAGGAAUAUUGGGCAAUGCUCGAAAGAGUGACCCAGCAACGCCGCGUGGAGGAUGAAGGUAUUCUAUAUCGUAAACUCCUGUGAGAGCAGACGAAAGACAGAUUAUUAAUCUGGAUGACUGUAUGCUCAGAGGAAGCCCCGGCUAACUACGUG
rnacentral:rRNA from 1 species